CUCGCAAUCCUCCUCUUUCGUCGUCGUCAUCGUCGUCGUAGUCCUCGUGGCUAGUCGUCGCCGUUCGUUCAUUCGUUGGUUGGGGGAUAGGUGGGUCGGAAGGUAAGGUAAGGUUCGUUACGUUGGUUCGCCUAGCAGGCACCGGGCCCAAGGAGAGUCCUCUUCUCUGCACGGCUGUGCGUAAUGCCCCUGAUACGACUUUGUCGGUAUUAUCUGCUCGCCGGGCUCCCGGUGGCUCCGUAAAAACAAGACCGCCGGAGAUUUAACCCUCGAUAUGGCGACCACCGGAAUAUCGUGAAGGCCUCUCCCCUCACGGACACCGCUUCGAGCGGACUUCUCUGCACGAUUAACGGCUCAUUUGGAAUCGCAACUUACAAUUAGCGUCGCUUCGUGUCCUUU
rnacentral:misc_RNA from 1 species